UAGCCAGUCAGGCAGCCUCUUUUAUUAGUUGACCUGAUACAAAGUGGACACACCUAUUGACAGCACAAGACUAAAAAUAGAAAAAGACGAAGAGAGAAAAUACAAACAGGCCAUUCAGGUUUGGAACAACAUGAGGAGGGAGGAAAAAACACAAAACUGCUCACUGGAGUGCUGUCUUCUCAGACCCUGCAAUUUAAGUAAACAAGUGGUGGAUACACACUUUACAGUAUAUAGAGCACAACUGAAAGGACUUACCCUACUGUAGAUGACAAACC